UCGAAAAUCCAGACCACCUUUUCUUCACGACCUGCUGUUACCUGUGCUUAUUAUUUCACUGAGAAGCAGAAGCCUCUGAAGAGAAACUCAACAUCCUGCUACCAUCGCAUUUCCCAAGUGGCCCGUUCACCCUUCCUCGCAUUCCUUAAGAAUUCAUGCCAACAAGGCUUUCAUCUGCACUAUUUGACCGAAAACUCUCCUGUUGAAAGUCAGUAAUGACCGCAUUCACGCCAAAUCCAGUGGCAAUUUAAUUGGGAUGUUAUUAAGUGUCAGUGAGGGUAAAGCACUUCACAAAAGGCACAAAGACACAAUCACAGAAUCUUUGAAGGUUAUGAAGCAAAUGAUAAUGUCUACAUGAGCAUUAACUACCACUUUUUCACCAUCUCUGAAAUGAAAUAUGUGCUUUUGCGAAGUUUCACAAAAUACAGAAGUGAUAUAUGGGGAUCUCCGAGAGAUGGUUUUGCAAAUUGUAAAUGCAGAGAAGGAGUUAACCUACACUUCUUACUCCAGGUAUCUGACUAAAGCUGUUUUUCUUUAAGCCUGCAAAUCUGCCAGCGUGGAAAAAUUAGCAAUUAACAUUAGCAAGAAAAAUCUAUAGACCAAAGUCACAGAAAACCUGCCUGCCGGGUUUAACUUAUUUUAGGAUUUUUAAAAUAAAAAAACUACUUGAUGUUGUCUGUAAGUUUCUGGCUCUUUCUGAAGACAGUCAAGACUCCA